UGUGUUUCUAAAAACUAGUCGUAGUUUCUCUUGGUACAAUGGCUCAGGUGCUAUAUCUAACAGUGUGGCUAUCCUGAUCAAUGGUUAUUUGAAUUCCAUUUGAUCCUGGAAACACCACAUACAUUU